AAGAAUCUCAAGAUGGAUGCUUGUGAAUGUGCUAGAAAAACAUGGAAACAUCAAGAAGAAUCUCAAGAUGGAUGCUUGUGGAGCCAAUUUAGGUUGAUAUCUUCUUUGACCACCUUUAUGUGUACGUUUUUGAGAAGGGGUAAGAAGGGUUCCCAUAAAAUUUCAGUCUCUUCGUCACAUAUCACAUUCUUCAACCGUUCAAGGUCCAAAACUGAUGCAGGCAGAUCUUGCAAUCUUGAGCAUUGUCUCAUGUUGAGCUUUUUUAAACUGCACAUCUCACCAAUGUGUUCAGGCAACUCCUUAAUGCUCAAGCAAUAGGAUAUGUCGAGAAACUUUAACUUUUCAAGGUUCCUAAUCGAGUUUGGCAACUCUAACAAGUUUGUACAUGACCUAAGCCUCAACACUUCCAAACUUACUAGCUUUCCAAUCUUUUCAGGCAAGGCGGAUAAGUUAUGA
rnacentral:lncRNA from 1 species